GUUCCAGUGAAGUGCUGUCUGAGAAGUGCUGGAAAAAAAAGACGACUUGAGUGCCUCUGCGAUGAGAAGAUGACGUGCCACUUACUGCAGCUCCACAGACACCGUAGCGGUUGGCAGACGUCCGGAUAUAGUGCAAGAGGAGAGAAAGACCACCUCUUCUUGCAGAUGACUUACCAACCCUAUGUCAAAGCUAGAGCUGCCUUCCCUUCACCUAGUCACCAGCAAAAGGAGGAGCAGAGGAUUCAACACACAAGCUGUUAACAGCACCGCGUAUGCUAACAAGGGCUGAGGAGGGUAAGGCCGGAGAGCUCCGUCAUCCUCCUGACUGAGCAGACUCCUCAGAAGAGGCGUUACGCCCCUUGCAGAAUUGACCUGGCAGGUUGGUACAAGUGCAGAGCCCACAGAGAGAAGUCCUGAAGCCGUCCUAGGAGUAUCUGCUGUAUUUCUUCAUCAGUAGCUUUCCUUUUCAAUUUCAACCAUUGAUAACAUCUCACCUUUUUUCUUCCUACCUUCUUGUCUUGUAGGAGAAUCCUUCCCCCCUCCCUCCAAAUCAAGCCUAAAUCUAUUUAAGGUGAGAAAGGAGAGGAAGG
rnacentral:lncRNA from 1 species